rnacentral:misc_RNA from 1 species
GUAAGUUGCACUCAAGUGGAGAUCAAGAUGAUGGGGAUGUAGAUGGGAAUGAUGCUCCCAGUCAUGCUCUUCUGGGAGGUGAUCGAGUUUCUCAUAGACUGAUUCAAGCGCCUGCUACAUGGCUUGAAACUAUAUCAACAUUAUCUGAGACCUUAAGGUUUACAUACUCGGAGACUCUUGGAAAGUGGCCCAUUGGGGAUUUGGCAUUUGGAAUUAAUUUUCUCUU